CUCUUCAUCGUGGGCAAAGCAAUAUCUCUGAUGAUUGUAUUUCCCUUUUCAGAAACUUUGUUCCUCUUUGGGAACUUACAGGGCUUGGGAUCUGUAUGGGGGAGACCUGAGAGGCCCCCGAAACUGGGUAUCAAGGCCAGGGAAAGCAGAGAUCAGCCUGAAGAGGGUGGACCUUGACAGCAACCACACUCAAUGUCCAGGUUUAAGGCAUGUGUGUGGAGGUGUGCGUGAGCUGUUUUUCCAGGCAUCACAACCCGCUGCUGUUAUGCCCUAAGUCUCGUUGGUACAAAUGAUUGAGCAUUUGGAGGUUUAAAUCCACCCAGAGGCACCUCAGGAGAAAGGCCUGGUCAUCUACUUUUGAAAAAUCAGCCAUUGGAAACCUGAUGGAGCUCAGUUCUAAUCUGGUUCACAUGGGGUCACCAUAAGUCAGAGCCAACUCACUGAAAACUGGUGGUUUUCCUGUUAUGCCCAAGCCUUCAGUUAACUUCUAUUAAACGUCACAUCCUGGUCUUGUCUGUGCUGCGGUCAAUUAAGGAAGAGUCCCAGGGCAAAGAGAAGCAAAGGAAGAAGCACACGCCCCUAGAAAGCCAGAUUCGGGGUGGCAAGAUGGGGUCUCACAACAGUGUGGUGGUCUGGAAUGAGUCUGAAGACUUUGUUAAGGAAAAAGCUGCCCUUUAAGUAGUAACAAGCUCCUUUUAGGAAGACCUGAGUCAUGAAGGAGACCUCGGGAAACCAGUGAGAAAAAGAGAGACAAGUAGGCAGAGAAGGGCUGCCGGGGUUCCAACAGAACCCACAUCUGAGAUCCAGUCCUUCCAGUGUCCACCUACAUUCCUGCCCUGGAGUUCCAGAAAUGCCUCAGUAUCCUCAUAAAUAAACCCCUUUUUUGUUUGCACUAACCUGAGUAGUUUUCUUGUGCCUGCAAUCAAAGGGUUCUAAAUAACACAGUAACCAUGGUUAAAUUACUUACCAUCUCCUACCCUCAGUCUCCAAAUCUGUUCAGUGAAGAAGUGAUUGUGAGGAAUCAGCACUGGAUUCCUAACGUAGUAGAAAGCACAGACUCCAUGAUAACAGGCACUUUUAAAUGUCAUUGUCGUUUUGCUGCAAGAGGCUGCUAAGAAUUCUCAGCUCUGGUCUCUCAAACAGUCCUCCUCCCAUGGCAUUGCAGGCUGUUUGGGAGACACUGUUGUGUAGAUGGAGUCCCUUGGUAGUGCAAACAGUUAACGUGCUCAGCUGCUAACUGAAAGGCAGAAGGUUCAGGUCCACCCACACAGGUCCGCCUUGGAGGAAAGGCCUGGUGACCUACUUCAAAAAAAUCACCCACUGAAAACUCCACGGAGCCCAGUUCUCCCCUGACACACAUGGGGUUGCCGUACUGGGCGGCAACCGGCAUGUUACUGGAGUUGUGUAGAUAACACUGUCUUUGCAUCACCAGUCAACACUGGUCGGGGCUUUUUAAAGAUGUAUGGACCUCCCAGGAGUAUUUGUAAUUGGCACUUUUCUCCAUAUAGUCUAACAGAUUUAGUUUGUCCUCUUAUACGAGACUCAUGAAUCAUGGCACCAUGACUCAAACAGUGCCCCAACCGUCACACCAAUCCAUGUCUUCUCUGAACCUUGCAGAACACAUCCCAAGGCAUUUUUACCUACUUCAUCCUGGACAUGUCAUGAUACAAGUUACACAAGAACACAUUCCUUACUGAGCCAACUCAGAUGAGAUCCUCGCCUGGAUCACAUUCCUAUAGCUUGUGGCCUGGUGAUAACUAUGCUUUAUGUGCUCCAAGUAUUUAUCCACAGUCCCUACAAACGUCUGGAAGUUAUAAUAAAUACUGGAGAUUGUAAUAAAUACUCCAUUAUGUUCUAGAAAAACAAACCUGAACCUCACAACUAACUGUCAGAUAGCAUAGAGCUCCCUAGUUUGCUAAAAAAGAGAUCUAAGGAACUGCAAGGGUAGCAUUUAUAUUGCACCAGCCACUUCAUAUGACAAGUUCCAGCCUCUACACAACAGAACCCAGAAGUGCUCACAGCGCCUGAUGAGCUUACUAAUGGUGUUAUGUCCUUAAAAUCUGUUUUAUGAAUCGAAUUGUGUCCCCCCAAAAUCUGUGUUGUAAAUCCUAGCCUCUAUGUUAACCACAGUGGUUAACAGCUUGGCUGCUAACCAAAAGGUCAGCAGUUCAAAUUCACCAGCUGCUAAUUGGAAACCCUAGGGGGUAGCUGUACUCUGUCCUGUAGGGUCACUAUGAGCCAGUAUUGACUCGACUGCAAUGGGUAUGCCUGUGGUUAUACUGGGAAUGGUUUGUCCUUACUACGUGAAUGCAGCAGGAUUAAUGUACAGUGUGUCUUGAGACAAUCUCUUUUGAAAUAUAAAAGAGAUUAAACAAGCAAGCAAGGGAAGCAGAGAUGGGGUUAGAGAUGUGCCAAGGGAGUGGGGUCACCACUCAGAUGGACUAGGAAAAUGAGGCCACCCAAAGCCAAGGGAGUAGAGUUACCCUCCUAUCGGGCCUGGGAGGCAGAGCUGAAGCCCAGGGCCAAGGGGCCUCCACCCGGAAUCCAGAGAGCAUGGCCAACACCCAGAGUCUGGAGGGCAGGGAAGUUGCCCAGAUGGUUUCAGAGAAGAGCAGAUUAUUUUCAAGCCUUUGAGAGCUAAUGUAAAUUGUUUUGCUGGGCUUUGGACUUGCUUGAUACCCAUUACCCCUUCUUUCCCUCCAACUUCUCUCAUUUGUAAUGGAAAUCUCUACCUUGUGCCUGUUCCAUUCUAGUACUUUAGAAACAGACAACCUGCAUUCUAUAUUUCACAGGUUCACAGAUGAAGAGGAAUUUUGCCCAGGGAUGGAAUACGCCUAAAGUCUCACCCAUAUUUGAUUUAGAUGAUUCGGGAGAUGAGGUUUGGAUUUGGAGUUUAAUUAAAGACUUUGGGGAUGAUGUGAUAGGGUGAAUGUGUUUUGCAUGUGGUAAGGUCUGGAAUUUUGGGGAGCCAAAGAGUGGAAUGUUAUGGAUGGAAUUGUGUCCCCCAAAAAUACAUGUUGUAAAUCCUAGCCUCUGUGCCUGUGGCUAUAAUCCCAUUUGGGGAUGGGUUGUCUUUGUUAUGUGAAUGAGGCAGGAUUAAUGCAGGGUGUGUCUUGAGUCAAUCUCUUUUGAGAUAUAAAAGGGAUUAAACAAGCAAGCAAGAGAAGCAGAGAUGGGGGAAGAGAGAUGCCAACGCACAUGAAGAUCACCCAGGAGAAGAAGCUAAAAAGUCUAGGACCUUCCUCCAGAGCCAACAGAGAAAGAAAGCCUUCCCCUAGAACCAGCACCCUGAAGUCAGACUUCCAGACUCCUAAACUGUGAGAAAAUAAAUUUGUUUAAGCCACUCAUUUGUGAUAUUUCUGUUACAGCAGCACUAGAUAACUAAGAAUUCAUACCCUAAAUCUUACUUACAAAGUAAAAUUUAAUCUUUAAUAUAGCCAACUUAGUCCUACAUACAAAGGCAGUUUUCUUGUAAGUGUAAAAAAGGCUGCUAUUUUGCAAGAAUUACCACUAAGGCGUGGAUAUGCUGAACUCUGAUUAAAGCUUAAAGCUAGAACAUAAAUUGUUGUCAUUGAUGGAAUCUUAAAGACUUUUUUAAAACCACAAAGACUUAUGAGAAGUAAAACUAGAAGAGGAUUUCUUAGAACUUUUUCCUGUCAAAUUAAUAUAAAACAAUUAAGUGCAGUGCUUGAUCUUGGGAUAAAUAGGUCAAUGGAGCAUAGAAACAGUUUAAAACAGUACCUUCUCAUAAUUCAGCUGGAUUCCAAGAGCAAUGAUAAGAUAUUUGUAGGAGAUCUGCAACACAAAACAAUGCCAUUUUAGACCAGUACCCAAGAAGUGGCAGCCCAAGGGCCAACUCGGGCCUCAGAUGUAUGUGUUUCACUUUCUAAUGUGGGUGACUUGGGGCUGUGGGUGGUGAGCAGGCAGGAAGAGAGGGAUGCACAUUCCAGCCCUCCAUUGUGCCCCCGAUGCUCUCCUGCCUCACAGCUCACUGCUUCUCAGACACCAAGUAACCCACCUAGCUCCUGGAAGCUGGGUACCCCUGCAUUUUUACACAGUGGAGAAUAAUAGCAAAGAAGCUACAUUUAUUUGGGCAGUGCUUAUAUUAAUACUUUUUCAUGUUGAGGCACAGAGGAAUGACUUCCUAAUCUUAAAAGACAAUCGCUUCUUUUAAAAUCUAUGGUGUAAUGUGUGAAUCCCAAGCAAAACUGACUUGUCAUAUGGGUUAGACCAAUACUAUCAUUGGGAAACUGCUCUUUGGAAAGCACUGAAAAGAAUGUGAUCCAGUGUACUUGAUUUAAUGAUCUGUAUAAAAAAAAAAAAAAUUUUUUUUUUUUUUUUAUGGGAUGGAAAAGUCCCUUCUUCAAUUCUGUUACCUCCUUGCCAUUGUCUGUACGGAU